AAUAGAUACCCCGGUAGUCCACGCCGUAAACGAUGAGUGCUAAGUGUUAGAGGGUUUCCGCCCUUUAGUGCUGCAGCUAACGCAUUAAGCACUCCGCCUGGGGAGUACGGCCGCAAGGCUGAAACUCAAAGGAAUUGACGGGGGCCCGCACAAGCGGUGGAGCAUGUGGUUUAAUUCGAAGCAACGCGAAGAACCUUACCAGGUCUUGACAUCCUCUGCCAACCCUAGAGAUAGGGCGUUCCCCUUCGGGGGACAGAGUGACAGGUGGUGCAUGGUUGUCGUCAGCUCGCGUCGUGAGAUGUUGGGUUAAGUCCCGCAACGAGCGCAACCCUUGAUCUUAGUUGCCAGCAUUCAGUUGGGCACUCUAAGGUGACUGCCGGUGACAAACCGGAGGAAGGUGGGGAUGACGUCAAAUCAUCAUGCCCCUUAUGACCUGGGCUACACACGUGCUACAAUGGAUGGUACAAAGAGCUGCGAACCCGCGAGGGUAAGCGAAUCUCAUAAAGCCAUUCUCAGUUCGGA
rnacentral:rRNA from 1 species